rnacentral:rRNA from 1 species
UACGGAGGGUGCGAGCGUUGUCCGGAAUCACUGGGCGUAAAGGGCUCGUAGGCGGCCAACUAAGUCAGACGUGAAAUCCCUCGGCUUAACCGGGGAACUGCAUCUGAUACUGGAUGGCUUGAGUUCGGGAGAGGGAUGCGGAAUUCCAGGUGUAGCGGUGAAAUGCGUAGAUAUCUGGAGGAACACCGGUGGCGAAGGCGGCAUCCUGGACCGACAUUGACGCUGAGGCGCGAAAGCCAGGGGAGCAAACGGG